UGAAACCCCAUCUCUACUAAAAUGCAAAAAUUAGCUGGGUGUGGUGGUGCACACCCAUAAUCCAAGCUACUAGGAAGGCUGAGGCCAGAGAAUUGUUUGAACCUGGGAGGCGGAUGUUGCAGCCUGGGCAACAGAGCAAGACUCUGUCUCCCCAAAAAAAAAAAAAAAAAAAGGAAAUAAGAGUGGAGAUAGGGAGAUCAAUUAAGAGGGAAUUAUAUUAAAUAGUAGGCUAGGGCCAGGAUAUACGUAGUAUAGAGAGUUUGUGGAAAAAUCUCACAGUAUGGAGGAAGAAAAUACACACUUGUGUGUGUAUAUACAUUUAUACACAGACACGCAAAGACACACACAGACACGUCUUAGUCCAUUUGGGCUGUGAUAACCAAAUGCCAUAAACUGAGUAGCUUGUAAACAUCAGACAUUUAUUUCCCACAGUUCUGGAGGCUGGAGUCCAAGAUCAAGGUGCUGGCAGGUUGUGUGUCUGCUGAGGACUUGUUUCCUGAUUUCUAGAUGGGUCUCCUUGCUGUGUCCUCACCCGAUGGAAGAGUUCUUUUAUGGAUCUUCAGUUGCUUCAGGCCAUCUGGAUGUAUACGUGCAGGUCGCGGGGAUAUGAUGGCUUCGCUUGGGCUCAGAGGCCUGACACUCCUGACCUCAAGUGAUCCACCUGCCUUGGCUUCCCAAAGUGUUGUGAUCACAGGCGUGAGCCACCGCUGCCUGGCCUAGACUUUUUUUUUUUUUUUUAAAUGAUUCCCCUUAGUCUGCCAU
rnacentral:lncRNA from 1 species